UACGUAGGGAGCGAGCGUUGUCCGGAUUCAUUGGGCGUAAAGAGCUCGUAGGCGGCUUGGUAAGUCGGAUGUGAAACCUCCAGGCUCAACCUGGAGUCGCCAUCCGAUACUGCCAUGGCUAGAGUCCGGUAGGGGCCCACGGAAUUCCUGGUGUAGCGGUGAAAUGCGCAGAUAUCAGGAAGAACACCCGUGGCGAAGGCGGCUCUCUGGGACGGUACUGACGCUGAGACGCGAAAGCGUGGGGAGCGAACAGG
rnacentral:rRNA from 1 species